CCUACGGGGAGCAGCAGUGAGGAAUAUUGGUCAAUGGACGCAAGUCUGAACCAGCCAUGCCGCGUGCAGGAAGACGGCUCUAUGAGUUGUAAACUGCUUUUGUACGAGGGUAAACGCAGAUACGCGUAUCUGUCUGAAAGUAUCGUACGAAUAAGGAUCGGCUAACUCCGUGCCAGCAGCCGCGGUAAUACGGAGGAUUCAAGCGUUAUCCGGAUUUAUUGGGUUUAAAGGGUGCGUAGGCGGGCGGUUAAGUUAGAGGUGAAAUCCCGAGGCUCAACUUCGGAAUUGCCUCUGAUACUGUUCGGCUGGAGAGUGGUUGCGGUAGGCGGAAUGUAUGGUGUAGCGGUGAAAUGCUUAGAGAUCAUACAGAACACCGAUUGCGAAGGCAGCUUACCAAGCUACUUCUGACGUUGAGGCACGAAAGCGUGGGGAGCAAACAGGAUUAGAUACCCUAGUAGUC
rnacentral:rRNA from 1 species